AGGAGGAACACGAUGUCACCAGGGCCCAGGUUAGAGUGUUGUGUUAGUGUGUCAUAGAGGGUUAUGGGAUCCUCGAGUUAGGGUAGCACCGAUAUACGGUGUUACGUGUUAGAUCGAGUCGUAGUUAUAGUUAUUAUUGUGAUUGUGGUUGAUUGAUUUGCUUGCAGGUUCUGACAUUAAGUCCUAAGUCUGGUUUAGGUACCGGAUUAGGCUUGGUGUGUAUUUGGUUAUUGUAGGCCCGACGUUGUCCUGUAUGUGUUUGAGGGAUUGCUUGUGAAGGGUGGUGGAUAUUAAAGC
rnacentral:lncRNA from 1 species